UUUAAGCAUGACUGUAAGUUGCUUUGGAUAAAAGCGUUUGCUAAAUGGCAUAUU
rfam:Salmo salar isolate Sally breed double haploid chromosome ssa25, whole genome shotgun sequence.